GACGAACGCUGGCGGCGUGCCUAAUACAUGCAAGUCGAACGCACUCUCGUUUAGAUUGAAGGAGCUUGCUCCUGAUUGAUAAACAUUUGAGUGAGUGGCGGACGGGUGAGUAACACGUGGGUAACCUGCCCUAAAGUGGGGGAUAACAUUUGGAAACAGAUGCUAAUACCGCAUAAAACCUAACACCGCAUGGUGUAGGGUUGAAAGAUGGUUUCGGCUAUCACUUUAGGAUGGACCCGCGGUGCAUUAGUUAGUUGGUGAGGUAAAGGCUCACCAAGACCGUGAUGCAUAGCCGACCUGAGAGGGUAAUCGGCCACACUGGGACUGAGACACGGCCCAGACUCCUACGGGAGGCAGCAGUAGGGAAUCUUCCACAAUGGACGAAAGUCUGAUGGAGCAACGCCGCGUGAGUGAAGAAGGUUUUCGGAUCGUAAAACUCUGUUGUUGGAGAAGAAUGUAUCUGAUAGUAACUGAUCAGGUAGUGACGGUAUCC
rnacentral:rRNA from 1 species